GGAGCCCUACGGGAGGCAGCAGUGGGGAAUAUUGCACAAUGGGGGAAACCCUGAUGCAGCGACGCCGCGUGAGUGAAGAAGUAUUUCGGUAUGUAAAGCUCUAUCAGCAGGAACGAGACAAGACGGUACCUGACUAAGAAGCCCCGGCUAACUACGUGCCAGCAGCCGCGGUAAUACGUAGGGGGCACGCGUUAUCCGGAAUCACUGGGUGUAAAGAGAGCGUAGACGGCUGAGCAAGCCUGAAGUGAAAGGCGGGGGCCCAACCCCCGGACUGCUUUGGGAACUGUACGGCUGGUGUGCAGGAG
rnacentral:rRNA from 1 species